GGCUCAGGACGAACGCUGGCGGCGUGCUUAACACAUGCAAGUCGAACGGUGAUGCCCAGCUUGCUGGGCGGAUCAGUGGCGAACGGGUGAGUAACACGUGAGUAACCUGCCCCAGACUCCGGGAUAAGCCUUGGAAACGAGGUCUAAUACUGGAUACGAGAUGCCCCUGCAUGGGGAGUGUCUGGAAAGAUUUAUCGGUCUGGGAUGGACUCGCGGCCUAUCAGCUUGUUGGUGGGGUAAUGGCCUACCAAGGCGACGACGGGUAGCCGGCCUGAGAGGGCGACCGGCCACACUGGGACUGAGACACGGCCCAGACUCCUACGGGAGGCAGCAGUGGGGAAUAUUGCACAAUGGGCGAAAGCCUGAUGCAGCGACGCCGCGUGAGGGAUGAAGGCCUUCGGGUUGUAAACCUCUUUCAGCAGGGAAGAAGCGCAAGUGACGGUACCUGCAGAAGAAGCGCCGGCUAACUACGUGCCAGCAGCCGCGGUAAUACGUAGGGCGCAAGCGUUGUCCGGAAUUAUUGGGCGUAAAGAGCUCGUAGGCGGUUUGUCGCGUCUGGUGUGAAAACUCAAGGCUCAACCUUGAGCUUGCAUCGGGUACGGGCAGACUAGAGUGCGGUAGGGGUGACUGGAAUUCCUGGUGUAGCGGUGGAAUGCGCAGAUAUCAGGAGGAACACCGAUGGCGAAGGCAGGUCACUGGGCCGCAACUGACGCUGAGGAGCGAAAGCAUGGGGAGCGAACAGGAUUAGAUACCCUGGUAGUCCAUGCCGUAAACGUUGGGCACUAGGUGUGGGGCUCAUUCCACGAGUUCCGUGCCGCAGCAAACGCAUUAAG
rnacentral:rRNA from 1 species